UACGUAGGGGGCAAGCGUUGUCCGGAUUUAUUGGGCGUAAAGAGCGUGUAGGCGGCUUUACAGGUCCGUUGUGAAAACUCGAGGCUCAACCUCGAGACGCCGGUGGAAACCGUAAAGCUAGAGUCCGGAAGAGGAGAGUGGAAUUCCUGGUGUAGCGGUGAAAUGCGCAGAUAUCAGGAAGAACACCCGUGGCGAAGGCGGCUCUCGUGGGACGGUACUGACGCUGAGACGCGAAAGCGUGGGGAGCGAACAGG
rnacentral:rRNA from 1 species